rnacentral:rRNA from 1 species
GAAAGCGUGGGUAGCAAACAGGUUUAGCAACCCUGGUAGUCCACGCCGUAAACGAUGUCGACCAGUUGUUCCGUUGCCUUCCGCACUUUGUGGCGAAGUUAACGCGAUAAGUCGACCGCCUGGGGAGUACGGCCGCAAGGUUAAACCCCAAAUGAAUUGACGGGGGCCCGCACAAGCGGUGGAGCAUGUGGUUUAAUUCUAUGCAACGCGAAAAACCUUACCUACUCUUGACAUCCUGCGAAUUUGGUAGAGAUACCUUAGUGCCUUCGGGAACGCAGAGACAGGUGCUGCAUGGCUGUCGUCAGCUCGUGUUGUGAAAUGUUGGGUUAAGUCCCGUAACGAGCGCAACCCUUGUCCUUAUGUUGCCAGCGCGUAAUGGCGGGAACUCUAAGGAGACUGCCGGUGACAAACUCGGAGGAAGGUGGGGACGACGUCAAGUCAUCAUGGCCCUUACGAGUAGGGCUACACACGUGCUACAAUGGUCGGUACAAAGGGUUGCCAACUCGCGAGAGUGAGCCAAUCCCGAAAAGCCGAUCUCAGUCCGGAUCGGAGUCUGCAACUCGACUCCGUGAAGUCGGAAUCGCUAGUAAUCGUGGAUCAGAAUGCCACGGUGAAUACGUUCUCCGGGCCUUGUACACACCGCCCGUCACACCAUGGGAGUGGACUGCACCCACAAGUGGUUAGCCUAACGCAAGAGGGCGAUCACCACGGUGUGGUUCAUGACUGGGGUGAAGUCGUA